GAUUAGCUAGUUGGUGAGGUAAAGGCUUACCAAGGCGACGAUCGGUAGCUGGUCUGAGAGGAUGAUCAGCCACACUGGGACUGAGACACGGCCCAGACUCCUACGGGAGGCAGCAGUGGGGAAUUUUGGACAAUGGGCGCAANCCUGAUCCAGCCAUGCCGCGUGAGUGAAGAAGGCCUUCGGGUUGUAAAGCUCUUUCGGCCGGAACGAAAUCGUCCGGGCUAAUACCCGGGAUGGAUGACGGUACCGGAAGAAGAAGCACCGGCUAACUACGUGCCAGCAGCCGCGGUAAUACGUAGGGUGCNAGCGUUAAUCGGAAUUACUGGGCGUAAAGCGUGCGCAGGCGGCUUCGUAAGUCAGAUGUGAAAUCCCCGGGCUUAACCUGGGAACUG
rnacentral:rRNA from 1 species